UGAGGCUAAAGAAGAGAAGAAGGAGGGCAAAAGUGCAAAAAUGCAGAUCUGGGAGGGGAUCAAAAUCCCUAGCCGCAUCUCCAUUGCAAUCGGGCCUGGCACACAAAUCUCUCCCUCACCCCUCCUUCUCCUACUCCGGCCGCCGCCACGGCUAGGCCGGCGUGGUGGCGCGUCAUCAGCUCCUCCCCACGCCUCCACCAGCUCCACCGCGCCAUCUCCACCAGCUCCACCGCGCCAUCUCCACCACCCACCACACGCCACCAAAUCCAUCCACCAUCGCCACCAUCUCCAGCCACCGCCGCACCUCGCGCGCCCGACCAGACAAGAGGGUCACGGGCGUCUGGUCCUCCGCGUGAGCGCCCCCGUGCUGCUGAUCUUCUUCUUCUCUUCCUACUGCUUCUUCUCCCUUCUCCAACCUCCUGCUGCUGCCUCUUUCUUCUCUUGCCCUGCUGUUCUUCUUCCUCUUUUCCUCACCUUGCUGCUGCUCUGAACCUUAACUUGUUGCUGCCACUUCUUCUUCUCUGAACCCAACGCUGCUAGCUGCUGCUCCUAAUCUUCUCUGAACCCCAGCCUGCUGCUCUUUCUCUUCUCCCUCAACGCCUGCUGCUGCUUCCUCUCUGCGUCCCCUGCUGCUCCUAACCUUGCUGCUGCUUCUCUCUUCUUCCCUUAUCUCUGCUGCUGCUCGUCUCCAACUGAACCUGCUGUUCUCUUUCCCCCUCUCUGUAAUUCAUGGAAAUUGUAAUGUAUUAAGUAUUUUGUUUAGUUCAGAGACCUGUACUUGUCUAGUAGUAUUAUUCAAUAUAUGUGCCCUGUUUAUCAAUUAGUGUUUUUGUAAGAACUAAGAUUACUAGUCAAUUUUUGUGUUGUUUGUGUGCUCUGUCAAGUGAGAAGUUUGAACCUCUUUAAAUUCUUAGUCCCUGUGUUAGCUAUGUACAUGUGGAUAUAUAUGUUUGUUAUGCGAAAUAUUUGACCUGUUUAGUGAUACAGUAUUCUUCAUAUGUGUGUGGUGUCCUGUGAUAUAUACAUAUAUGUGUGUUUGUGUUGUGAUAUAUUUUCGUCCCUGUCUUAGUAUUGUUUCUUCCCUUUGUUCAUGUAUGAUAGUUAUAUAUGUGUCCUUGUCAUAUUAUUCCCCUUUGUGUUAGUGUUUUAGAUUCUCAAGUGUGAUGAAAAUACCAAAAAGAUAUUGAGUAAAAUCCGAUUCUCCCUUGUUGCUUAUCUGCAAUUUUGUUUGCUGACAAUCAUUGAUAGUUUAGGUUUACUUUUUGUUCUCAUCAUCUAAAUUCUGUCACCUAGCUUUAGCCAAAGCAUAGUCGCCGUCGUCUAGUCCUUGUGGAGAACACGACAUCCGUAGUUUGGGCAUAAAAACCCUGCUAUAUUACAAUCGAUCAUUUUGGCGCCGUUGCCGGGGACUAGCGUCGAGUGACCGUGUUAGGCUAUAGACUAGGUUUAUUUUAGUUCCGUGUUUAAUUCGUCGUAUAUUUCAUUUUCUGCGUUUCUUUUAUAUAUAUUUUUUUCCUUGUUGUUGCUUCGGCUUAUUAGGAUACUAACAUUCUGACUAGUAUUUACUGUUUAUGAGUGUGCGUAGGAAAUCUGAACUAUUUACAGGUUGAUUGAUAGUUACACUUGGUGGAGAUAUGGCGAUGCUUCGUGAUGUUUGGAUGCCAAGCAGCCAAUGCUAUUUCACAGGGCCACUUUGGCCGUCUUUUGAGGCGGAAAAUUUUGAGCUAAAGCCUGGUCUUAUUGCUUUGGUUCAACAACAUCAGUUUGGAGGGUUGCCUAAUGAAGAUCCUGACGAGCACUUGCUCCGAGUCAUGGAGUAUUCAGAUACAGUAAAGUACCAUGGAGUUCCUCAAGAAGCUAUCAAGUGCAUGUUGUUCACAUUCUCUCUCCGAGAUGGUGCUCGUGCUUGGUAUCGAUCCUUGCCAUCAAGAUCAUUCGGUUGGAAUGAGAUAUCACGAGCUUUCUUGGAUAAAUAUUUCCCACUACACAAGCAGUCCGCAAUUCGAGAUGAGAUCUUCAAUUUUGUUCAGCGUGAAGGCGAGAGCUUGAAUGAUGCUUGGGAGAGAUACAAAGCCUUAUUCAGGAGAUGUCCUAAUCAUGGGCUCGAGAGAUGGUUAGAGUUGCAGAUAUUCUAUAGAGGAUUGACUUCGAACACUCGAGCUUAUGUCGAUAUGGCAGCGGGUGGAGCUAUUACAAACAAGACACUUGAUGAAGCUUUUCUGCUGAUUGAGAGCAUAGCUUUCCACCAACUUCAGUGGUACAAUAAGAAGCCCACAUCUGAUUCAUUGGUUUGCUUGCAACAAAUCACUACACCUCAACCACCAAUUUUUACACAAAAGCAUGAGCCUCUAUCUCAGUGUGACAAGGUUGAGCUUGCAUGGAUUAUAUUUGACGAUUAUGACACCAUUCUAGUUGACACACACUCUACAGAUCAUCUGGAUACUAGUGUUGGAGAUUCAAUUUUGCAUUGUGAUGAUUCUAACAUGGAUGAGCCAGAGCUGCAGUUCGUUGCUUUUGAUAUUGAGGAGUCACCUUUAGUUGAUAUUGAUCAUGUGUUGCUAGAGCCAGAUAUGGAGAAGUUCGCCUUUGAUGAUGUUAGCUGCAUUGAUUCUUCAACACUUGAGCCUGAGAUGGAGAGCUUCAUGGUUGAUUAUGGUGAGGUGGAUUCAGAUGUCAAGGAGUCAAGCUCUAUUUCACUUGUUGACACGAAUCCGGUGGAAAUUUCUACUACCACACCUCACUUGGUAUCUUCAAUGGAGGUAGUCCUGAAGCUUCUUCCUAACUAUCUCAGGUAUGAUCUCAGCUUUCUCAACAAGAUAUGCCAUAUCAUGGAUACUGCCUAUGCAACAUGCGGUCUAUUGAUGAUAUCUAUUUGUCAUAUGCUUAGAUAUGCUUAUGUGAUAGGAUACUCUAUUGAUGACGUAGAGGGCAUUGUCCCUAUCAUUUGUAUUGGCUUGUUUGUUGAGUGUUCUUUCAGGUUUACGCUUGUGUACCAUUCAUUGUGGGCUGACCAAGUUUGAGAUGACAUCCCAUGGGAUCCUGGUGGACUCAAAGCAUGGCGGUGAGGAGAAGCAAUGGGGCACACACGAAGAAGAGUGAAGCUGGAGCAUCCAUAAGGAAGGAAAGGAGAAGAGAUGCAGUUGGUGAGGUGAUCAAGCGAGUGCUACUUCAUUAAGCCCGGUGAGCUGUUUCAUGACCCAUUCUGAAUAUCAUAAAUACAUGCUGAAUUCAAUUGCUAGUUGGGUUGCUUGAGCCAGUUAUUACUUGUUGUCAAGCUGAAUCUCACCUUUGGCAUUGUGCUUGAUGUGAAUUUGUGAACUUGAUUUUUGAAUGCCUUGUAAACUAGUGAUCUACACCAUGCAUGCUUUGCUAAAAUUAGUGAGAACUACUAGUUUUGAGUGCUCAAAUCCCUAGUACACUAGAAAACUUCGUCAUUUUCUGCAUUUACUAUGAUACACCUAGAUCACCACGUUUAGAUGCUGAAUUUGUGCCAAGUGUCUUCCCAUUGAGAGCAAUCACCUAACCACUAUGGAUUAGCAUGCUAUGUUCCCUGGAUCGGUAGCAUGUGAACCAGACAUGGAGAAGUGAUGAUUCCUGUUUUUGUUUUUAUGCGUUGUUCAUUUAAGAUAAGUAAUAAUGAAUAUAUAAGUCUGGUCUACCUACAGUAGCAUGUCAUGUUCCCUGGAUCGGUGGCAUGUGAAAUCUGGUAGCUUGGACAGUAAUAAAUAAAUAAAAUUGUAAUUGUCAAACCAGGUGUAUACCAUGUUCUCGGGAUCGGUGGUAUGUUCCUUUGGGGAGACAAACAAAAAAAACUAAUAAUUGGUCGAGCCAGGUGUAUACCAUGUUCUCGGGAUCGGUGGUAUGUUCCUAUGGUGAGACUAAUAAUAAUAUAAUCAUUGCUUUAUCUCUGUAAAUAAGUGAUUUGAUCACAAGAUUUAAUUCCAGUUCAUUUUGUUCUUGGGAUCAUGCUCUCUUUAGGAACCAUUUGGCACAGUCAUCAUUUAAACUUGUUGAUCCUCUUUUAUCAUUGUAAAAGUUUAAAAUGGUCAUGCUUACUAGUAUUCUAUUGCUCUGUAGCACUCUUAACCACUGAUUUUCACUAGCUAAGUCCAAAGCAUGCAUUGUUUAGAGAUCUACUUCACUUGGACAUUCUCUAGUCAGCUCACAAUUCACUAUCUAGUUCUUGACAUAUUCCUUUGCUUGAGGACAAGCAAAGAUUUAAGUGUGGGGGAACUUGAUAAGUGCAUUUCAUAUAUAUAACUUGGCACUCAAAUUUAGCAUCUAUCGUGAUAUAUCCAUCCAUUCUUGCUAUGAGUUGUGAUAUAUUUGAAUGAAAAUCAUAUAAAAGAUCAUUUACUUGUCAUUUGUUUAUUUUGCAGAAAAGUGCGAUAAGGCACUAUAAUCUUGAAGAUCUUGUCUACAAAGAAAGAGGAUACAAGACCGAGGGCCAAUAGAAGAGAAGGGGGACUCGAGUAUGAAGAAUUAAAGAAAUGGAGGGCCAAAACUAAAGAAGAAAGGGAUCUACUUGAGGCUAAAGAAGAGAAGAAGGAGGGCAAAAGUGCAAAAAUGCAGAUCUGGGAGGGGAUCAAAAUCCCUAGCCGCAUCUCCAUUGCAAUCGGGCCUGGCACACAAAUCUCUCCCUCACCCCUCCUCCUACUCCGGCCGCCGCCACGGCUAGGCCGGCGUGGUGGCGCGUCAUCAGCUCCUCCCCACGCCUCCACCAGCUCCACCGCGCCAUCUCCACCAGCUCCACCGUGCCAUCUCCACCACCCACCACACGCCACCAAAUCCAUCCACCAUCGCCACCAUCUCCAGCCACCGCCGCACCUCGCGCGCCCGACCAGACAAGAGGGUCACGGGCGCCUGGUCCUCCGCGUGAGCGCCCCCGUGCUGCUGAUCUUCUUCUUCUCUUCCUACUGCUUCUUCUCCCUUCUCCAACCUCCUGCUGCUGCCUCUUUCUUCUCUUGCCCUGCUGUUCUUCUUCCUCUUUUCCUCACCUUGCUGCUGCUCUGAACCUUAACUUGUUGCUGCCACUUCUUCUUCUCUGAACCCAACGCUGCUAGCUGCUGCUCCUAAUCUUCUCUGAACCCCAGCCUGCUGCUCUUUCUCUUCUCCCUCAACGCCUGCUGCUGCUUCCUCUCUGCGUCCCCUGCUGCUCCUAACCUUGCUGCUGCUUCUCUCUUCUUCCCUUAUCUCUGCUGCUGCUCGUCUCCAACUGAACCUGCUGUUCUCUUUCCCCCUCUCUGUAAUUCAUGGAAAUUGUAAUGUAUUAAGUAUUUUGUUUAGUUCAGAGACCUGUACUUGUCUAGUAGUAUUAUUCAAUAUAUGUGCCCUGUUUAUCAAUUAGUGUUUUUGUAAGAACUAAGAUUACUAGUCAAUUUUUGUGUUGUUUGUGUGCUCUGUCAAGUGAGAAGUUUGAACCUCUUUAAAUUCUUAGUCCCUGUGUUAGCUAUGUACAUGUGGAUAUAUAUGUUUGUUAUGCGAAAUAUUUGACCUGUUUAGUGAUACAGUAUUCUUCAUAUGUGUGUGGUGUCCUGUGAUAUAUACAUAUAUGUGUGUUUGUGUUGUGAUAUAUUUUCGUCCCUGUCUUAGUAUUGUUUCUUCCCUUUGUUCAUGUAUGAUAGUUAUAUAUGUGUCCUUGUCAUAUUAUUCCCCUUUGUGUUAGUGUUUUAGAUUCUCAAGUGUGAUGAAAAUACCAAAAAGAUAUUGAGUAAAAUCCGAUUCUCCCUUGUUGCUUAUCUGCAAUUUUGUUUGCUGACAAUCAUUGAUAGUUUAGGUUUACUUUUUGUUCUCAUCAUCUAAAUUCUGUCACCUAGCUUUAGCCAAAGCAUAGUCGCCGUCGUCUAGUCCUUGUGGAGAACACGACAUCCGUAGUUUGGGCAUAAAAACCCUGCUAUAUUACAAUCGAUCAUUUUGGCGCCGUUGCCGGGGACUAGCGUCGAGUGACCGUGUUAGGCUAUAGACUAGGUUUAUUUUAGUUCCGUGACCGUGUUAGGCUAUAGACUAGGUUUAUUUUAGUUCCGUGUUUAAUUCGUCGUAUAUUUCAUUUUCUGCGUUUUUUUUAUAUUUUUUUCCUUGCUGUUGCUUCGGCUUAUUAGGAUACUAACAUUCUGACUAGUAUUUACUGUAAAUGAGUGUGUGUAGGAAAUCUGAACUAUUUACAGGUUGAUUGAUAGUUACACUUGGUGGAGAUAUGGCGAUGCUUCGUGAUGUUUGGAUGCCAAGCAGCCAAUGCUAUUUCAUAGGGCCACUUUGGCCGUCUUUUGAGGCGGAAAAUUUUGGGACGGAGGGAGUAUAUAUUAAGGAUUUAAGGUGUGCAUACAAAAUAUGGUAGAAAAGCAGAGUUUGCUUGCAAAUGUUAUCUUUUGAUGACUCUUUAAAAAAAUUCACACUGAAGCUCUCAUGUUAUAUCCCUCUCGUCGAAAAGUAGUACAAACACAGCCAGAUAAGGAAAACAAAAUGAUGCAU
rnacentral:lncRNA from 1 species